UGCAACAGGCCCUGCUGAAUGUUGUCUCCAUUCCUUUUACUCCACCUGUAGGAACUGUAAGGCUGCCAUGAACCUUCUUUUCACCAGGCUGCCCAAGUGAAGUUCUCUCAGCCCAGGAGAGGUGUUCCAGCCUUCUGAGCACCUUCCUCUGGACAGGCUCCAACAGAUCCGUGUCUUUUCUCUACAUUCCUACCUAUUGGUCAACCGGUCAAAUGUCUUUUGUUUAGCUGCCCUUCCCUUCUUCUCUCUGCUUUGAGCACUGCACAAGAACCCCAGAGUGGAUAGCUUUCCCAGAUGGGUUGAGGAUCUCCCUUGAAAUGCCAGGAUGGCUGCUCAGCAGAUGCCAGUAAAGACCACUCACAAAGCCUGGAGGCUGAGGACGGUGCUCACAGAAACAUGGAAUCCUCAGCAACGAACUCCAAGUCUGAUCUACUGUAAAGACUGA
rnacentral:lncRNA from 1 species